GAUGCUAAUACCGGAUAACAACAGAUGAUGCCUAUCAACUGUUUAAAGAUGGUUCUNGCUAUCACUCUUGGAUGGACCUGCGGUGCAUUAGCUAGUUGGUAGGGUAACGGCCUACCAAGGCGAUGAUGCAUAGCCGAGUUGAGAGACUGAUCGGCCACAUUGGGACUGAGACACGGCCCAAACUCCUACGGGAGGCAGCAGUC
rnacentral:rRNA from 1 species